AAGUGCUUGAUUUCAUUUGCGACAUCUUCAAAACUUAAGCAAAGCCCACCCGUCGUUGCAGCCACGCACCUCUUCUCCCCUCCAAUCGCCUGUGAGCAUGAUAAGAACCUUCCAGAAACUUCUGCAACCAACCCGCGGACCCCACUGGGCUUCUACUCCCCUCCGCCGCUUCUGCGGCCGCGCCCCGGCCCCGCCUGCGCCCGCCGGCGGCGACAUCUUCCAAUGGAACUCCGCCAUCACCUCCCACCUCCGCGCCGGCAGGGUGGCCGCCGCGCGCCGACUGUUCGACGAAAUGCCUGAGCGGAACGUGUUCACGUGGAACUGCAUGCUCUCGGGCUUCGUCCAGAACCGGAUGCUCGCGGACGCCCGCAGGGCGUUUGACGCGAUGCCCGCGAGGAACUCCAUCUCAUGGGCGGCGCUCCUGACCGGCUACGCGCGGAGCGGGAGGGUCGUCGAGGCCAGGGAGCUCUUCGACCGGAUGCCGGACCGGAACGUGGUCUCCUGGAACGCGAUGAUGUCGGGCUACAUGCGCAACGGGAUGGUCGAGCAGGCGCGCGAGCUGUUCGACGCGAUGCCGUCGAGGAACGACGUCUCGUGGCUGACCAUGAUCUCCGGUUACAUCAGGAGGCGGCGUGUCCAUGAGGCGAGGGAGCUCUUUGACCGCGCGCCUUCCCCGUCGACGUCUGUCUGCAACGCGUUGCUGUCGGGUUACGUCGCGCUUGGUUGCUUGAAGGACGCCGAGGAGCUGUUUGUCCGGAUGCAGAGACGGAACCCUGUCUCGUGGAAUGUUAUGAUCACAGGCUACGCGCGGGCUGGGAGGAUGCAGGUUGCGCAGAGCCUGUUUGAUGAGAUGCCCCAGAAGGACACGAUAUCUCGGACAGCCAUUAUGCGUGGGUACUUGCAGAAUGGAGACGUUGAUGCUUCGUGGAAGGUGUUCGAGGAAAUGCCUGAUCGGGAUGCUAUUGCUUGGAACACAAUGAUCGGUGGUUUCGUGCAGAGCGAGAGGGUGGAUGAUGCGUUGAGAUUGUUUGCUGAGAUGCCAAAUAGGGAUCUCGUAUCUUGGAACACGAUCUUGCAAGGCUAUGUUCAACAAGGGGACAUGGCUAGUGCAAAUACCUGGUUUAGAAGAAUGCCAGAGAAAGAUGAGACCUCGUGGAACACAUUGAUCUCUGGGUACAAAGAUGAAGGAGCACUAGCUUUGCUGUCAGAAAUGACCAGAGGAGGACUCAGGCCAAACCAAGCCACUUUGAGCGUUGUUAUUUCUAUCUGCGCCUCUCUUGUUGCGCUUGGAUGUGGAAAAAUGGUGCAUCUCUGUGCAGUCAAAACUGGCUUUGAGCGUGAUGCUUUGGUAAUGAGCUCAUUGAUAUCUAUGUACUCAAAGUGUGGGCUAAUCGCUGAAGCCUCACAAGUUUUCGAAUUGAUGUUGCAGCGAGAUACAGUGACAUGGAAUGCCAUGAUUGCGACAUAUGCUUAUCAUGGUAUGGCUGCUGAAGCUCUGAAACUCUUUCACAAGAUGACUGAAGAUGGGUUUCGUCCAGACCAUGCAACCUUUCUUAGUGUAUUGUCUUCUUGUGCACACAAAGGCUAUUUAUAUGAAGGUUGUCGUUAUUUUAGAAGCAUGCAAGAAGAUUGGAACUUGAUUCCUAGGUCUGAUCACUAUUCCUGUAUGGUUGAUCUCCUAGGAAGAUCUGGUUUUGUACACCAAGCUUAUGCAUUCACAAGAAAAAUCCCAUCUGACCUUCAAGUAAAUGCAUGGGAGACACUAUUUAGCGCAUGUAAUGCUCACGGAGAUGUUCAGCUUGGAGAAGUCAUUGCAAAGAAUGUCCUUCAGGCGCAACCUUCUGAUGGAGGAAUGUAUACACUCUUGGCAAACUUAUAUGCUGCCAAAGAGAUGUGGAGCAGUGCUGCCAAUGUUAGAGGAUUCAUGAAAGAGCAGGGCUUAAAGAAGGAGACAGGGUGUAGUUGGGUUGAGCUGAAGGGGGAGGUUGUUUCCUUCUCAUCAAAUGACAAUACACAUCCCCUAAUUGAUCAGAUAUGCCAGGAGGUUGAUAACCUUUCUGUCAUGAUAGAAGGGGCGAUGUGAUAAGGUUAUGAAAAAUGGAACUCUGGCAGUCUGUGAGAUCAGUUGACGGCACUGUUGGCUCCAGAGUCCAAAAUUUGGGAAAACACUGUCUUUUUUUGUCAGGGGCCGGGGGUACGCCCAAAUGAGUUCUUGAAAGGAUAGGAUAGUGAUGUGUUGGAGCCUGUUCAAUUCUUUAGCGAUGACCCCUUCCAAGAUCGUAAUCAAGAAGUUAAAAACAAGACAGUGAGGUUCCAAAUUGGAGAUUUCCUACAAUUAGCAGUGGUGAUGGUGGUGGGAGCAUUUUCACUAUAUCAAGGAGGAAUUUAAGAACUUGGUUCCAUGUCUGCGCUGUCACUGGGGACCAGAGCACCCGUGACGUCUUCAGUGCAAAUUUCCCAAGCGAUUACACAGAACUCAUAGUGCAGUGAUUUCAGGCUAAAGAAGCUACAGAAUCAGCUUUUAAGGAUGGAAAACAGCUAUUGGUGAGUGACUGGACCGUCAUUCUUAUCACAUACUUGGCUUUACUUUUUUCUUUUCUCUUCUUUUUUGCCAGUGAUUUUGUAUAUAUCAUAUAAUACAGGAAAUAGAGUUUCCUACAGCAGGACUACAAUCUGUACCAGGUGAUGGCGAAGGUGGAAUCGAGAUGACAGGAAGCAUGCUUCUCAUUAGAGAAUUUUGUGAUCGCUUCGUACCUGCAGAGAAAGUUACCAGGACCAGAAUU